ensembl:lncRNA
AUUAAGGGUCGCAGGUUGUCUGCACCCUGGAUUUCGGCGGGGGGCGGGCAAGGGGGCAGAGAGAGCGGGGAGCCGCCCCUUCCCCGAGCCCACUUCCUGCUCACACGACCCAAACUGACCUGAAGGCGAGGCCUCCCGCCCGCGCCACCCUCGGGUCAGAGAAUCCCAGGCUCCGCGUGGAGUCUAGACCUGCGCCGUCCAGGAGACUUGUCACGCGAGGCACAGAUAGAGCCGGUGUGCACGCCCACAGCGCCUCGGUUUCUCAAGAGCUGGGAGCCCAGGGCCAGUGGCCGCCCCUGGACAGCACAGGUCUCGCUGGGCUCCUGUUGUGUGAGUUGCUCUCGCUGGCCCAGAGAUUGUCUGAAACCGCAGGCCCAGCGGCUCAGGAGGUGUCUCCACGCAGAGGGAAGUGUGGCUCCACCGAGAGCCGGGAUGAGGCAGCCUGGGGCCGCAGAGGCUGCUCCCCGCCCGCCCAGCCACCCGCAGCGCCAGAGCUGCAUAGAAAUACCCACGUGCGACCUCUGAAGGGCAACUACAGCCCGUCUAGUUGGAUGCUGACCCUGGACCUUGCCCUUGGUGUUAGUCCCAGGAUUGGAGGUAAAUGCUCUCUGCCUGCCCAGCCACGGCCACACCCCACAAGACAGUGGUCAGAGGACAAGGAAGGCAGCAACUGCCGCCAGCAGCAGGGGCGAGAGCCGGGCAGGGCAACAAGAAGAGGCUGUGUGCUGACCAGCCUUCAGAACACGCUAAGAUGCUCUUGCUCGGGAAGUGGCAGGGGCCGAACACUGUUCGAGUGAUGGAAGAACCGAAGGUCCAGGAGACAAUGGGGAGGACCAUCCACACCACAGGGCUGCACGUCGGUGCCGGGUGGUCCCGUCCACCGCCUGACAGCCUCCUUCCACAGUGAGAAAGGGUUUCCCGGCUUCCAGGUCCUGCGGCACCGUGGAUGGUGGACAGAGCCGACUGCCCGCCGGGCCUUCCGAAGCUGCUGCCGACGGCUUAGGUGGUCGGCCUGCACCCAGCUGACAACUAGCCCAAGAGAGGGGGCUGCAUCUCCUGGGUGGGGACUGUGGGGCCUGCACGGGGAGCUCGGCUGGGUCCGUGUGCUGCGACUUCUCAGGGAUAGGGCAGCCUUUCUCGAUUCGGGGACACCGGAUGCAUCUCAGUGCGCAUCUGGGGUUGGCAGCUGCCGCCUUGGAAUUAAGUCAAAGGCAGAAAGCUGAAUCCAAGACAGGGCACGUCUGAAUCCCUGGGAGAGCUCCCUGGAUGCAGGCUCCGAGCGCUCCUGGAAGGCCUGGCUCUGCAGGUUAAGUGGAAGGCCAGGGCACCUGGACCCAGGGGACCACAGACCAUCCUCUGAGAAGCAAAGCAUGGACGGCGCCUCCUGAAACAGAUGAGCUGCAUCAGGAGGGAGCUGAAGAUCAAAAGCAGGGUUCACGUUUAGAAAUUAGGGCUCUCGGCCGGAGCUCAAGCCGUGUGCCCUGUGCCCUGGUCCUGCUCUCGGGUGGCCCCACUAGGAGGGCUUUUGGGGUCUCAGCUGGUCACUCAGGGCCUCCCGAUGAAGCGCCAGGGUCCAGGCUGCUCCAGGAUGGACCGCAGUGUCACCUCAACCACUGCAGGCUGUCAGGGGUGGCCCUCUGGCUGAGCAGAGGUUCUCCCUGUGACCCGGCCUGAUGACCUGAGGCCAAAGGGGCCCUGGCCGGCCGGUAAAGGCUUAUGGGGAGGCCAGGGGGCUGGAGAGGCCUCACGAAGCCUCAUCUGGGCAGAGCAGGUCAGCACUCACUGCCCUGGGCCGGCCGGGCUCUGCUGACCGCUGGCCCCAGCCCCCCACGCCAGUUCCUCCUUGACCGCCUGCCCCUCUGAGCCUUUACUGGAGCCGCUCCUGGGCCAGGCGGACCCCGUCCAGGCUCUUGGUCAGGCUUGUCUCGUUGAUCCCUCAGGGAGGCUCUGUGAAAUAGGUACCAGUGGCCUGGUUUCCAGGGGCGUGAGCAGACACAGGUGCAGGGAAAUUCAAGCCUCACUUGCUGCCUCUGAACCCAGCGAGCUCUCUGUGUCGACACCCACCACCCUCAGACUGGGUAAUGGGUAACGGGACUCCGGUUGGGCUGUGGAGGCACGGUGGGAAACUGGUUGGCAGAAGGUCCUUGAGCAAAGGGUCCUCCUGAUGUCCUGGGACCCCUCACCAUGUAAGACGUUCCACCCACUCCGAGGGGACGAUGGUGGCACCGACAGAGGCUGAUGGACACUGAACCUGGGGCGGAGCCCACCUUCUCCUCUGGAGACUUCCCCAAACCGGUCUUGCAGGUGGGGGAGUGGGGGGGCGGGAGGGGCCCUCCUGGUGG